rnacentral:tRNA from 1 species
GCCAGGGCAGCACAGUGGUUUGAGCAUUGGACUAGGACUCUGGAGACCAGGGUUUGAAUCCCCACUCAGACA